AUUGAACGCUGGCGGCAGGCUUAACACAUGCAAGUCGAGCGGAGAUGAGGUGCUUGCACCUUAUCUUAGCGGCGGACGGGUGAGUAAUGCUUAGGAAUCUGCCUAUUAGUGGGGGACAACGUUCCGAAAGAAAUGUUAAUACCGCAUACGUCCUAGGGGAGAAGGAAGGGGAUCUUCGGACCUUGCGUUAAUAGAGGAGCCUAAGCCGGAUUAGCUAGUUGGUGGGGUAAAGGCCUACCAAGGCGACGAUCGGUAGCGGGUCGGUGAGGGAGAUCCGACACACUGGGACUGAGACACGGCGCAGACUCCGACGGGAGGCAGCAGUGGGGAAUAUUGGACAAUGGGGGGAACCCUGAUCCAGCCAUGCCGCGGGUGUGAAGAAGGCCUUAUGGUUGUAAAGCACUGUAAGCGAGGAGGAGGCUACUGAGACUAAUACUCUUGGAUAGUGGACGUUACUCGCAGAAUAAGCACCGGCUAACUCUGUGCCAGCCGCCGCAGUAACAC
rnacentral:rRNA from 1 species